UACGUAGGGGGCUAGCGUUGUCCGGAAUCAUUGGGCGUAAAGCGCGUGUAGGCGGCCCGGUAAGUCCGCUGUGAAAGUCCAGGGCUCAACCCUGGGAUGCCGGUGGAUACUGUCGGGCUCGAGUCCGGAAGAGGCGAGUGGAAUUCCUGGUGUAGCGGUGAAAUGCGCAGGAUAUCAGGAGGAACACCAAUGGCGAAGGCAGCUCGCUGGGACGUGACUGACGCUGAGACGCGAAAGCGUGGGGAGCAACAGG
rnacentral:rRNA from 1 species